rnacentral:rRNA from 1 species
AUACGAAGGGGGCUAGCGUUGUUCGGAAUCACUGGGCGUAAAGCGCGCGUAGGUGGAUCAAUUAGUUGAGGGUGAAAUCCCGGGGCUCAACCUCGGAACUGCCUUCAAUACUGUUGAUCUUGAGACCGAGAGAGGUGAGUGGAAUUCCUAGUGUAGAGGUGAAAUUCGUAGAUAUUAGGAAGAACACCAGUGGCGAAGGCGGCUCACUGGCUCGGUACUGACGCUGAGGUGCGAAAGCGUAGGGAGCAAACAGGAUUAGAAACCCUAGUAGUCC